rnacentral:rRNA from 1 species
UAACACGUAGGUGGCAAGCGUUGUCCGGAUUUACUGGGCGUAAAGCGCGCGCAGGCGGUGAAUGAAGUCGAAAGUGAAAGCCCCGGGCUCAACUCGGGAACAGCUUUCGAAACCAGUUCACUUGAAGGUGGAAGAGGGAAGUGGAAUUCCGAGUGUAGCGGUGGAAUGCGCAGAUAUUCGGAGGAACACCAGAGGCGAAGGCGACUUCCUGGUCCAAUCUUGACGCUGAGGCGCGAAAGCUAGGGGAGCAAACAGGAUUAGAUAUCCUGGUAGUCCUAGCUGUAAACGAUGGAUACUAGGUGUUGGAGGUUUUAACCCCUCCGGUGCCGCAGCUAACGCAUUAAGUAUCCCGCCUGGGGAGUACGGCCGCAAGGCUAAAACUCAAGGAAUUGACGGGGCCCGCACAAGCAGCGGAGCGUGGGGUUUAAUUCGAUGAUACGCGAAGAACCUUACCAAGGCUUGACAUGCACAUGACCGCGGCGGAAACGUCGCUUUCCCGAAAGGGACGCGUGCACAGGUGUUGC